GUACGGGAGGCAGCAGUAGGGAAUUUUCCACAAUGGGCGAAAGCCUGAUGGAGCAACGCCGCGUGCAGGAUGAAUGCCUUCGGGUUGUAAACUGCUUUUAUUAGUGACGAUUAUGACGGUAACUAAUGAAUAAGGACCUGCUAACUACGUGCCAGCAGCCGCGGUCAUACGUAGGGUCCAAGCGUUAUCCGGAAUUACUGGGCGUAAAGAGUUGCGUAGGUGGCAGAGUAAGUAGAUAGUGAAAGCGUGUGGCUCAACCAUACAUCCAUUAUCUAAACUGCUCAGCUAGAGGACGAGAGAGGUAGAUGGAAUUCCUGAUGUAGGGGUAAUAUCCGUAGAUAUCAGGAGGAACACCGAUGGCGUAAGCAGUCUACUGGCUCGUUCCUGACACUAAGGCACGAAAGCGUGGGGAGCAAACAGGAUUAGAUACCCUGGU
rnacentral:rRNA from 1 species